rnacentral:rRNA from 1 species
AGGCGGAUAUUUAAGUCAGGGGUGAAAUCCCAGAGCUCAACUCUGGAACUGCCUUUGAUACUGGGUAUCUUGAGUAUGGAAGAGGUAAGUGGAAUUCCGAGUGUAGAGGUGAAAUUCGUAGAUAUUCGGAGGAACACCAGUGGCGAAGGCGGCUUACUGGUCCAUUACUGACGCUGAGGUGCGAAAGCGUGGGGAGCAAACA